GACGAGCGCUGGCGGCGUGCCUAAUACAUGCAAGUUGAGCGAUGAAGAUUGGUGCUUGCACCAAUUUGAAGAGCAGCGAACGGGUGAGUAACGCGUGGGGAAUCUGCCUUUGAGCGGGGGACAACAUUUGGAAACGAAUGCUAAUACCGCAUAAUAACUUUAAACAUAAGUUUUAAGUUUGAAAGAUGCAAUUGCAUCACUCAAAGAUGAUCCCGCGUUGUAUUAGCUAGUUGGUGAGGUAAAGGCUCACCAAGGCGAUGAUACAUAGCCGACCUGAGAGGGUGAUCGGCCACAUUGGGACUGAGACACGGCCCAAACUCCUACGGGAGGCAGCAGUAGGGAAUCUUCGGCAAUGGACGAAAGUCUGACCGAGCAACGCCGCGUGAGUGAAGAAGGUUUUCGGAUCGUAAAACUCUGUUGGUAGAGAAGAACGUUGGUGAGAGUGGAAAGCUCAUCAAGUGACGGUAACUACCCAGAAAGGGACGGCUACUACGUG
rnacentral:rRNA from 1 species